AGAAGUACGCAUCUUAUAGAGUCUUAAGAACUAGAGCUGCCCAAAGAAUGCUCUUAAUCACGCUAUCCAACUUUCCUCUCCUUUAGAUCACAAUACUCAAUGUGGAGGAGGGAAGGGCAAUCCUGAGCUUUCAUUGGGCAUCUCAGCAAACUACCUUGGUCUGACAGCUCUAGAAAUUCUAUUUCGUUCUUUUCUGUGUCCCCAGAGGCAGUUCCGUAUAAGGUGGCAUCGACACACAACUCCAGAGAAUGCAGCUGAUUACACACCAAACUUUAUUAACCAAAACACAGAGGGUUUACAUGACAGAAGCAACUAAAGGGAGAGAGGGCUUAUUCUGGAUCAUAGUUUGAGAAGACAGUCUGUCACGGGUUGGGGGAGGCAUGGAGACCAGGAGUGAGGCUGCUGGUCACAGUACAUCUGCAGUUGAAAAGCAGAGAGAGGUUUGUGUUAGCCUGCUUUCUCUUUCUUAUUCUGAUCAGGGACCUAAACAUGUAAUGUUACCAUCCACACGGCAGGGGGCGCGCUUCCUACCUCAGCUAUCCAAUCUGCAUGCUCCCUCACAGACAUGCCCAGGGGAUUGCAAUCUAGGUAAUUUUAAAUCCCGUUGAGCUGCAAAUCUAUAUUAAUUGUCAUAGUCACCCAUUUUGGGUUUUCUUCUGGGUUAAAACACAGCCGACACAUGUCCACCAUAGAAAGGAACACACAGAGUGAAGUCAUUUCUGCACACGAUCUCCCCCACAGCACAGCAAGACCCACUGAGGGAUAGCUUUAAAUUUUCGCUGAUAACACUCUCAGGCUAACCCAGUGCCUGCCAUGACAGGAGUACUACACUUGUUUAUGAGUGGGAGAAGAACAACGGCAUAGCGGACUGUCCUUCAAAGCUGUGCUGCAGCGUGUGGGACCUUCUAAUCCUCUCAUCUCCCAGAUUCGAUUGGCACAAGAGGAGUGUCUCUUACUGAACUUGGAGCCUGAAUUCUCUGCCUAGAUGGCUGGACAGCAAGUCCCGUCUAGUCUUCUGUCUCCACCCUGACCGGUGCUAGGGUUAUAGAAAUGUGCAGAUGUGUAAUCAGCCAUCAGCCUGCUGCCAUUUUUCACCAAGAUGGACUAUAUCCUUGAACUGUGAGCCAAGGUGGUCCUUUCCUUCUCAAGUUGCUUCAGUCAGGUUUCCUUGCUAUAUACAGUCACUAAAGGGUUGUCUUUUUUUUUUAAGCCCCUGAGCAUUUUCCUUAGACUCUUUUUGUGCAGUAUUACCAACACAUAUAAAGGGCUAAGAUUAAUAGCCAACUUUAGCUGAGAUCCUAAGGUUUGCAAAAUAAUGAACAAUACACCUAACUUCCACCUACAGUAAGUUCCUUAUUCUGGUCAAGUUAUUGUAUUGUUAUACACUUGUGCCUAUUAAGAAUACUUCCUUCCAGUCUUUGUCAUAGCAAGAUACUCAAAGCUCCAGGUGAUGGAACAUAGCUAAUCAUGGCAAUCAUGCUGCUGGGUUUCCUAGACUCCCUUGCAGCUAGAAAUGACACAGUGAGAAUUGUGCUUGGAAGGAUUCUGUUUCCCUCACAAAAGAUGUCGCUGAAUGACUUGGCUCUGUUUUUCUAAUUAGCUUCAUUCUAUGUUAGAUACUGGCAUAUACCUGAGUCUGAAAAAUAAUAUUGGAAUAGUGAGAAACAGCAGUCAGUGGAAAAGGAAAGAUAUAAGCUCUACUAUUAUUGAGUUAUUGAAACACCACUAGAAGCUGAUUAAUUCUUAAAUAAGAAAGAUAUGCUCUUAUAAGUCAGGGCUUCCUUACUUUAAUCCACUCACACUCUCAUAGAAUAACAGCUGUCCUGCCACUAAGUUCUUUCCUAUGGCUUCUAGUUUUGCUUCCAUGCACUCCAAUAUGAUUUUGUCCCUUCUGGCCCAUACUAUGAAGGAAAAUGACAGAUAAUGAGUUAAUGUGACUCUCGAUGUAGAGGAGACAAACACCUGGUCAUUUUUGUCUCUAAAUCUGGCUUCAUAAAUAGCUUAGUUGAAGGAAAACUGGGUUUACCUUCUGUAAAUUUAAGAAUGGCCGCCAUGCACCUACCUGGCACUGCAUUGCUGUUUUCUAGUCCAGAUUUAAUGACUUUCCCUGCAAUUAAGCAAGUUCACAUUUGGAGGCCGAGUCUUCAUCAAGGAAGACCUCUCCCUUGAAAACUCCUAGGUUCUCAGAAUGGAUUUUCUCUUUCUUAAAAUUACAAAAUGUGGGUUCAGAAAUAGCCUUGGAAGUCAUCUAGGUCAAUCUCACACUUUACAUAAAUUAAAAUUCAAAUCAGGCUACCUGUUCUUUAAAAAAUGCCUGGAAGGGAGAUAUCACAGUUGUCGUUGGCAGGAUUUGAUCAAACUUGCAGCCAGUAGUCUUCUACUUGGCCUAAUUGAACCACCUUAAUUCAAUUAAAAACAUAAAAAUAGAAAAGGAAUGGGGAAAAAUCCAGAGUGCUGUUUAUUUUUUUCAAAAUAAUAUUUGAUGGACCUGCAGAUAAUGAACAAUUCUAUCAGUUUGCUUCUCUUUCUGUGAUGGAACGCAUCCAAAUAAGAAUUUUACUAGAAUCUUCAUUUCCCGUCUUUCCAGUUUCUUCUUUUAGAGUUAAAUUCAGGGAGUGUGGUAAGGCUUGGCCUUACCCUCUGGGGUACUCAUUUUAAUGUCCUUCUUAUCUCAUCUGUGGCCCUUUCUCUUCCUCACGGCCACACGUACAUGAGCAGAUGUCUUGCUUGGUCUUUAGCAACACCCAGCUCACCCAACCCUCAAGGAGAGGAAGCAGGUCCCACUGCAAGUCCAAAUACUCCCUGUGGCUGCCACACUCUGCCUUCGUCUGGGUUGAGCUCCUCUCCUUUAAUGACUUCCUUGGCUAUUUGGCCUACUCUCUUAAAACUAGAUAUUUAAAGAUUGUUACAAUCCAAACUAGACAUGGGGCUGAACUCCGAAGAAAGUAUAAGCACAAUAAUUUGUUUCCUUUUUCUGAUUUUACAGUAUUUUCCCCCAUCAGUCCCUGUGCUCCCAUUCACUGGCCUUGGUGUAGUCAGAGAGGAAGAGAACCUAAAAGUAGGCCUCUUUUCAGAAUUCAGUGGAAGGUGAGCCAGUGGUAUGAUCGGGACCCCCCCCCCCCCUUUCUGGGUCUGUCUGUCUGUAUCUGUCUCUUUUGCCUCCACUCCCCAUGAUCUGCUGUAUCUUCAGAGACUUUUAUGACCUCAGCCUUUGAAGAGGAGAGCUGCAUCCAGGGAUAGCUGGCCACUGCUCUCUGAGCCACAGCACCAUGCUACCAUGCUACCAUCCUCUGUUAUUCCCAGACCAAGAAUAUACCAGAUAGAAGAAGGAGAAGAAGGAGAAGAAGGAGAAGAAGGAGAAGGAGAAGGAGAAGGAGAAGGAACAAAGAAACAAAGAAAGCAGAAUUGGAAGAUUUCACUUAGAAAUAUGUUGUUGGCUUAAAUUGGAAAAACUCAAACUCCAAAGACAGAUGUUGAAUUAAAAAUUUUUUUCCGAUUA